rnacentral:lncRNA from 10 species
UGACAUCACAGUCCUGCUCUUCCUCAAUGGGAAUGUCUCCACCAUCUACCCAUUUGCCCAAGUGGGAAACCUGGCCAGGGAUCCUGAGUGCCUCCUGUCUGUCUCACCUCCCCGUAUCCAACUGUCCCCAAAUAACUUCCAAACCACCCACUUGACGCUCUGCCUCUCCCCUCUUCCUGUGUUGAGAACACCACCUCCCCUCACCUGGAAGAUUCCAAUCACCUCUGUUCCCAGCCUGGCCUCUCUGUGGUGCCUGUGGCUCCCCCAUCUCCAGGCUAGUCACCACCAGAGAUCUGGAGGGGUCUUGGGAGCCUCUAAAAAAAAUAGCAUACUAACCAUGA